GCAUGGAAGAAUUCUGUAUUACUUUUACCAGUAGUAUAUGCAGUCAGACACCAUGCUAAAGUAUAUUUCACUCUUUAACAGUGUGAUCAGCAAUUUGUUUGCUGUCUACAAAGAAAGACGGAAUACAAGA